UUUGUUGUUCUCUACUUCCGUUAUUCCCGCCUAAUAGGGAAACAAACAAUCAUCUAUUAGAGGUUCUCACAACCCAUCACAUACUCAAUUCAAAUCAAAUUAUGAAAAGAAAAGGGAAAACUGUAGAAACGCACGAAUUGUUAGUGGCUUACUAGAUAGACUUUCGAUCAACGACUAAUAGCAAAAUUUCAACUAAUCCCAUAUCCUUUACGACCACGAUCAGCAAAAAUUAAAAGAAAAGAAAAAGAAC
rnacentral:lncRNA from 1 species